AUACGGAGGGUGCAAGCGUUACUCGGAAUCACUGGGCGUAAAGCGCGCGCAGGCGGCUAUUUAAGUUGGAUGUGAAAGCCUACGGCUCAACCGUAGAACUGCAACCAAAACUAUUUAGCUAGAGUGUGGGAGAGGAAGAUGGAAUUAGUUGUGUAGGGGUAAAAUCCGUAGAGAUAACUAGGAAUACCAAAAGCGAAGGCAAUCUUCUGGAACACUACUGACGCUGAGGCGCGAAAGCGUGGGGAGCAAACAGGAUUAGAUACCCUAGUAGUCC
rnacentral:rRNA from 1 species